CUACCCAAUUAGUUCUGACUAAUUUCGGAUACUCUGUUGAUCGUACUAGCCCUUGUCGGCGCAGAAUUUUCAUGGGUAUUUUUGGUGAUUUUCUAAACGUGGUUUUGGUUGUCUUGUCACGAGUUUAAUUUUUGAGUAAACCCUCAGCAUCGUGAGGGUUUUACCGUCCAGUUACAUGGCGAGUUAUAUGUCGUGAUUGGUGGUUUGAGGUACGAGAGCCUGUAUCUAUGAUCCAUGUUUGAUUUCCACAUGGCUGGUGGUAUUGUAAGGGGCUGUUCGAGGCUGUGGUAGAUUGGGGAUGAGCUCCCACACCUAACGUCCAUA